UACGUAGGGUGCGAGCGUUGUCCGGAAUUAUUGGGCGUAAAGGGCUCGUAGGCGGUCUGUUGCGUCGGGAGUGAAAACUCAGGGCUUAACCCUGAGCCUGCUUCCGAUACGGGCAGACUAGAGGUAUGCAGGGGAGAACGGAAUUCCUGGUGUAGCGGUGAAAUGCGCAGAUAUCAGGAGGAACACCGGUGGCGAAGGCGGUUCUCUGGGCAUUACCUGACGCUGAGGAGCGAAAAGUGUGGGGAGCGAACAGG
rnacentral:rRNA from 1 species